rnacentral:rRNA from 1 species
AGCUUGCUGGGUGGAUUAGUGGCGAACGGGUGAGUAACACGUGAGUAACCUGCCCUUAACUCUGGGAUAAGCCUGGGAAACUGGGUCUAAUACCGGAUAGGAGCGUCCACCGCAUGGUGGGUGUUGGAAAGAUUUAUCGGUUUUGGAUGGACUCGCGGCCUAUCAGCUUGUUGGUGAGGUAAUGGCUCACCAAGGCGACGACGGGUAGCCGGCCUGAGAGGGUGACCGGCCACACUGGGACUGAGACACGGCCCAGACUCCUACGGGAGGCAGCAGUGGGGAAUAUUGCACAAUGGGCGCAAGCCUGAUGCAGCGACGCCGCGUGAGGGAUGACGGCCUUCGGGUUGUAAACCUCUUUCAGUAGGGAAGAAGCGAAAGUGACGGUACCUGCAGAAGAAGCACCGGCUAACUACGUGCCAGCAGCCGCGGUAAUACGUAGGGUGCGAGCGUUAUCCGGAAUUAUUGGGCGUAAAGAGCUCGUAGGCGGUUUGUCGCGUCUGUCGUGAAAGUCCGGGGCUUAACCCCGGAUCUGCGGUGGGUACGGGCAGACUAGAGUGCAGUAGGGGAGACUGGAAUUCCUGGUGUAGCGGUGGAAUGCGC